rnacentral:ncRNA from 2 species
AUGAAGAAUCCGGGAGAGACCAUAUAGGAGCCGAAGGAGCAAAGCGCAGAAACUCUCAGGCAAAAGGACCGGAUUUGGACG